UAAUACCGGAUAAUAUAUUGAACCGCAUGGUUCAAUAGUGAAAGACGGUUUUGCUGUCACUUAUAGAUGGAUCCGCGCCGCAUUAGCUAGUUGGUAAGGUAACGGCUUACCAAGGCAACGAUGCGUAGCCGACCUGAGAGGGUGAUCGGCCACACUGGAACUGAGACACGGUCCAGACUCCUACGGGAGGCAGCAGUAGGGAAUCUUCCGCAAUGGGCGAAAGCCUGACGGAGCAACGCCGCGUGAGUGAUGAAGGUCUUCGGAUCGUAAAACUCUGUUAUUAGGGAAGAACAAAUGUGUAAGUAACUAUGCACGUCUUGACGGUACCUAAUCAGAAAGCCACGGCUAACUACGUGCCAGCAGCCGCGGUAAUACGUAGGUGGCAAGCGUUAUCCGGAAUUAUUGGGCGUAAAGCGCGCGUAGGCGGUUUUUUAAGUCUGAUGUGAAAGCCCACGGCUCAACCGUGGAGGGUCAUUGGAAACUGGAAAACUUGAGUGCAGAAGAGGAAAGUGGAAUUCCAUGUGUAGCGGUGAAAUGCGCAGAGAUAUGGAGGAACACCAGUGGCGAAGGCGACUUUCUGGUCUGUAACUGACGCUGAUGUGCGAAAGCGUGGGGAUCAAACAGGAUUAGAUACCCUGGUAGUCCACGCCGUAAACGAUGAGUGCUAAGUGUUAGGGGGUUUCCGCCCCUUAGUGCUGCAGCUAACGCAUUAAGC
rnacentral:rRNA from 1 species